ACAUCACUUUGAAACACCGGUUUCUGUACGAUCACCGAAGUUAAGCAACAUCGAUCCUGGUCAGUACCUAGAUGGGUAAAUGCUUGGCAAUAUCAGGUGCUGUAAG